rnacentral:rRNA from 1 species
UCGGGAAUAUUGCGCAAUGGAGGAAACUCUGACGCAGUGACGCCGCGUAUAGGAAGAAGGUUUUCGGAUUGUAAACUAUUGUCGAUAGGGAAGAAAAAAGACUGUACCUAUCAAGAAAGCUCCGGCUAACUACGUGCCAGCAGCCGCGGUAAUACGUAGGGAGCAAGCGUUAUCCGGAAUUAUUGGGUGUAAAGGGUGCGUAGACGGGAUGUCAAGUUAGUUGUGAAAUACCUCGGCUCAACUGAGGAACUGCAACUAAAACUAACAUUCUUGAGUGCAGGAGAGGAAAGUGGAAUUCCUAGU